rnacentral:rRNA from 1 species
UACGUAGGGUGCAAGCGUUGUCCGGAAUUAUUGGGCGUAAAGAGCUCGUAGGCGGUUUGUCGCGUCUGCUGUGAAAACGCGAGGCUCAACCUCGCGCCUGCAGUGGGUACGGGCAGACUAGAGUGCGGUAGGGGAGAUUGGAAUUCCUGGUGUAGCGGUGGAAUGCGCAGAUAUCAGGAGGAACACCGAUGGCGAAGGCAGAUCUCUGGUAUGAUACUGACGCUGAGACGCGAAAGCGUGGGGAGCGAACAGG